UACGUAGGGUGCAAGCGUUAAUCGGAAUUACUGGGCGUAAAGCGUGCGCAGGCGGCUUUGCAAGACAGAUGUGAAAUCCCCGGGCUCAACCUGGGAACUGCAUUUGUGACUGCAUGGCUGGAGUGCGGCAGAGGGGGGUGGAAUUCCAGGUGUAGCAGUGAAAUGCGUAGAGAUCUGGAGGAACACCGAUGGCGAAGGCAGCCCCCUGGGCUAACACUGACGCUCAUGCACGAAAGCGUGGGGAGCAAACAGG
rnacentral:rRNA from 1 species